AUUGAACGCUGGCGGCAGGCCUAACACAUGCAAGUCGAGCGGAUGAAGGGAGCUUGCUCCUGGAUUCAGCGGCGGACGGGUGAGUAAUGCCUAUGAAUCUGCCUGGUAGUGGGGGAUAACGUCCGGAAACGGGCGCUAAUACCGCAUACGUCCUGAGGGAGAAAGUGGGGGAUCUUCGGACCUCACGCUAUCAGAUGAGCCUAGGUCGGAUUAGCUAGUUGGUGGGGUAAAGGCCUACCAAGGCGACGAUCCGUAACUGGUCUGAGAGGAUGAUCAGUCACAAUGGAACUGAGACACGGUCCCGACUCCUACGGGAGGCAGCAGUGGGGAAUAUUGGACAAUGGGCGAACGCCUGAUCCAGCCAUGCCGCGUGUGUGAAGAAGGUCUUCGGAUUGUAAAGCACUUUAAGUUGGGAGGAAGGGCAGUAAGUUCAUACCUUGCUGUUUUGACGUUACCAACAGAAUAAGCACCGGCUAACUUCGUG
rnacentral:rRNA from 1 species